UGUACCAUCCAGUGGAGAUGAAGACCACCACCACCACCACCGGGGAAUAGAGAAUAAGGCCACACCCACGCUAUAACCUAUAAAAAGUUAAAAACACAUUUUAUCAACUCCUCCCAUUUUUCAGUCUCAGCCCAGCCCCACCUAAACUCGUUUGGAUUUUCUCCGGCCAGCCUCAAUUUUCGACUUUGCUGAUAUUGAAUUACUUGGUUAGGCUUGAAGACUCUAUCACAAGAAACCGAAAAGGUUGAUGAGUUUGGUGCAGUAAUAUGUGAAGUUAGAAGUUUCAUUAAGGCAACAUGGGAUUUGACAACGAGUGCAUAUUGAACAUUCAAUCUCUUGCUGGAGAGUACUUCUGUCCCGUUUGUCGUCUGCUUGUAUAUCCAAAUGAAGCGUUGCAAUCGCAAUGUACCCAUCUAUAUUGCAAGCCUUGUUUAGCUUAUGUUGUGAAAACUACUCAAGCUUGUCCCUAUGAUGGCUACUUGGUCACAGAAGCAGAUUCCAAGCCACUUAGUGAAUCAAAUAAGGCUCUUGCUGAAACCAUAGGAAAAAUAUCAGUUCAUUGCCUAUAUCAUAGGAGCGGUUGCACGUGGCAGGGAUCUUUAUCUGAUUGUACAUCUCAUUGUUUUGAAUGUGCCUUCGGAAAUUCUCCUGUUGUAUGUAAUAGGUGUGCAAUUCAGAUUGUGCAUCGUCAAGUACAGGAGCAUGCCCAAAAUUGCCCGGGCGUGCAGGCUCAGGCACAGCAGGUAGUGGGUGCUGCAGAAACUUCAGCCGCUGGCACAGCAAGUACUACUGAUCAGCCCCAAACUGCUACUCAGGUAGCAGUUGUGACUUCUCAGGUCCAGCCUUCUCAAACUACAGCUGCGACGGCUCCUGGGAAGGAUCUCAAUCAACAGUCAAUUUCAAGCUCCCAAACCCAAGCUGUUGUGCCUACUACUGAACAAUGGUAUCAUCAACAGCAGCAGUAUCAACAAUAUUACCAGCAGUAUCCUGGGUAUGACUUGUAUCAACAGCAAUAUCAACAGUUUUAUCCAUACCAACAAGCCGCAGCUCCACAAUACCAGCAGCAGUAUGCGCAGGCCCAAGCACCACAUUCUUCUGUUCAAAAUCAAUCCCAGGCGUACAUGCAACCUCAACCCCAACCCCAACCGCUGGCUGCAGUGGCUACUCAACCUCAAAAUCAACCCCAAAUUAUGCUUCCGCAGCAAGGGCAACAUGCAGUCCUACCACAAUCUCAAACUCAACCACAGACUUAUCCACCGGCCCAUGGAAAUCCUCAGCCUCAGCCAUAUUCCCAAAACCAGCUACAUCCACAUCCUCAUUCUCAACAUGUGCAAAUGCCGCAGUAUAUGCAGCCUCCUUCUCAGCUGCAAAGUAAGCAACAGACCCAAUCACAAGUCCAGCCUCUGUAUCAUCCCCCUUCUCAGCCUCAUUUGCUUUCACAAAGUCAGCAACCUGGGCAACUUCAGCAUAAUCUUCAGCAGAACCAGCCUCUUAAUACUAAUUUGCAGUCUCAGACACAGCUUGCAUCAACCCAUGCAGUGACAAGUCAUCAAUCAUAUCUUCAGCCUAACAUUGACCCUCAAGUGCAGAGUGGAACAUCACAACAAUAUGCAGUGCAUGGGCAGUCACAAAAUCCUGCUCAGAUGCAGAGUCAGUACCCUCAACAACUUCCAGUGAUGCGUCCUCUACUUUCUCAUGCUACAAUUCCAGGCCAGCAGCAGCCAGCUUUGGUACCUUCACCAGGUCAAGUCCAGAACAUCCCUUCUGCAGAACAACAGUUAAUCCAAUCACAUUUUCAACAACCAGGGCAACCAGUCCACCAACGUCCUGUUGUGCAGCCAGCUCAACCAACUUUUUCUCAGCAACAUUAUCAACAACAACUACCUAUGUCAUCCCAGUUGCGUCCUCAGGGACAAUCUCAUCUUUUUCCCACUCAAUCUUAUCCUUAUUCACAGCUAUCACAAAAUGUUGCCCUAUCACAUGGCAUGCAACAUGCUAAACCCUCAAACUCAGUUGUAAGGCCUUCCAUGCCUAAUCAGGGAGUACAAUCUCAAUUGUAUUCGCAGCAUGCUGGUGGUCUUGUUAGGCCAGUGUAUCCUGGAGUAAAUCAACAAUCCGCAAGUCAUAAUAGUAUGCUUAUAGCAAAUAACCAGAUGCAACCCCCUUCGGAACAACAUUCCGCUAUGAACUCAAAAUUAACAAUGGCUGAAAAAAAAGUGGAUCACACAUCUGAUAAAGGAACGACCCAGAAUGAAGCUGAAGUUUCCUUGCAAGUAAGUGUAGAAAUUGGUGGGAAUGAUACAGCAGCUAGAGUCAGCGAGAUGGCGAUUGAAAAGCCUGAAACUGAUAUUAAGUCAUUGGACGCUAAUCAAGUGGGUACAACUUCUAAGGAAUUUUCAGAGUCUACAAAGCUGCUGGAAUCAGAGAAUGGAGAACCUAAAUCUAAGCCAAUAAUGAAAGAAGGUAGCCUAGAAAACACUACAGGGCAUUUGAAUAAAGGCGAUCAAAGUGAAGUGGUUGCUGAGGACACAAAAGAUGGUAAUAAGGUAGGGCCUGGGAAAUUGAAUCACUCAAUUGUAGAAGAUAAGAUGACUGUGGAUGGCUCUCCAAACAAGCCAAGUAACUUGCAAGGAGAAUCAACUCAAAAUGUUACUUUAAGUCGUCCACAAGUUGGAGUUGAUGAAAACAGGCAAUCUAGUCAGGUGCUACCUGGUGGUUUUGUAGAACCUUCUCAUUCUUUUCCUGACCAGGGAAAGCAUCAGCUGUUACCAUCACAUUUUGGCCCUUCUAUUCCACAAAGGCCUGGCGGUCCUUCUUUAUUACAAGUACCUCCAGGGCUAGGCCCCCCUCAAACUUAUUUUAGGCCUCAAAGACCUAGACAUGCACCUGAACUCCGGCCACCAAGUAGUAUAAGAGGGCCUCACCUCUCCAAUACUGGUUCUUACAAGACAUCUCAAGGUGAACCUAUUGGAGCUCCAACAUCUGGUGUAUUGCCGCAUCGCCCUUUUGAUUUACAUGGUGGGACGAUGGCUAGAACAAUUCCUCAUGCUUCUGACUUUCCAAAUCAAAGGCCCAAUUACAUGGAUGGUAGGGGGCUUAAUCCCCACAUUCCUGGGUCAUUGGAGCAGAGAACAUUUACUCAGCCGUCCAAUGCUAAUAUGGUGAGGAUAAAUGGCAAUGUGGGUUUUGAUUCCUCAUCAGCAAUUGGGUUACCUGUUCAAGAUGAACGGUUUGAUUCCUUUCCUCCAGGUCCAAAACAUCGUGUUUCUGAUCAAACGGAGUUUGAGCAUGAUCUUAAGCACUUCCCUAGGCCUUCUCUGGAUGCUGAAACUAUGCCAAAGUUUGGGAGUCUAUCUUCUAGGCCCUUUAAUAGGACAGUCCAUGAUCUGAAUUUUGAUAAUGGAUUAAAUGUGGAUCCUGCGGUGGGCCCUGUUCCUUCAAGAUUUAUAUCUUCCUACAAUGAUGGUGGUUCUAAUGAUGUAGGAGAGAGACCAGGUGGCCAUCAUGAAGAUGUUUUUGGAAGAAGAGAGCCCACUCGUGGUCAUCUUGAUUUUUAUGGGCCAGGUCCUGCACAUGGUUGGCAUCAUAUGGACAGUUUGGCUAUGCGAAGUCCGGGUAGAGAACAACCUGGUGUCUCUGUGCAUGGAUUUAGAGGCACAAGUUCUGAUGACAUUCGUGGCAGGGAAGUACAUCGAUUUGGUGAACCAUUUAGAAAUUCAUUUCGUGAUAGUAGGUUGUCGAUGUUGCCUAGCCAUUUGCGCAGGAGUGAGUUUGAGGGUCUGGGUAACAUUGGAAUGGGCAAUCGCUUAAGGCAUGGUUUGAUUGGGCAAGGUGGUUUUCCAAAUCCUCUUCACAGGGGGGAACCUAUGGAUAAGUUUCAUGGUGCUUCAUAUUUUGGAGAGCCAGAUGGUAUUGGAACCCAUCCACGUCAUGCAAGGAUAAGGGAAAUGGGACCUGGGAGUUUUGACUCAUUUGGUGGUGAUGAUAGGUCAAAUCAUCCACACUUUGGUGAGCCUGGAUUCAGGAGCAGCUUUGCAUUUCAUGGGUUUCCAAACGACGGUGACAUUUAUACAGGAGACCUAGCGAUUGACAAAUCAAGAAAGAGAAAACCACCAAGCAUGGGAUGGUGUCGGAUAUGUAAAGUUGACUGUGAAACAGUUGAAGGUUUGGAUUUGCAUUCACAAACAAGAGAGCACCAGAAAAUGGCUAUGGACAUGGUAUUAACUAUCAAGCAGAAUGCUAAAAAGCAAAAAAUCACUUCUGGUGAUCAGUCCUCACUUGGAGAUGCAAGCAAGUCAAAGGAUACUAAAUCUGAGGCUGUGGAGGAAAAAGCUACUUUAUGAUGGCUCUUCAAUUGGAUUUACUCACUCGUCUCUUCCUGUGGGUGGUUUAUGGUAGUUGUCAUUUCAGGUUGCUGCCAUAUUAAUCGAGAUGGUUUUUGGAACAGAAGUUCAAUGGCAAUCUUUUCAAAUCCGACCUGUCUUUUUUCGGAGAAGCAGACAACAUAGAGGCUGAAAGUUCAGGGGAAAGGUUUACUUCAUCAUCUUUUGUAACUUGAUUUUUUUGAGAAUGUGGAAUUUUCCAAUCAUUUUUUUGGGGGUAAACUUUGGGCUUUAUUUAAGUGGUUAUGACUUAUGAGACAGCUUCCUUGAUGUUGGAUGGCAAAAACUGGACUUCCGAUCCUCUCUGCUUCUUUCUUGUGUUUUAAACAGGUUUGUUCUUGUGGUUUUUGUUUAUGCCUUUCGGUUAUUUUAGUGUUUGGAUUUUUAUUUAUAUGGCUAGAUCUUCGUAUUUUUUAUUAAUUAAUUAAUAAUAAUAAUAAUAAUAAUAAUAAUAAUGAUGAUGAUGAUGAAGCAUGGACAACUUAAUUGGUGUGUUGUAUGAAUGAGGACCAUUAAAAGGCUGUCAUUGCCCAUUUCAUAAUUGUUAAGUUGAAUAUUUUUGCUAAUAUAAUUUAAUUUUAAUUUUUUUAAAGAUCUAAUAUUGCUAGCCCUUCGUACCUUGGAAGAGCUUUUUUUUUCUUUCAUUUCAGUAUGUAUUUGUAUUUAUAAAAGUAAUAACAGGAAAUUCAAUUUAAAAUAAAAUAUUACGAGAAAAAUUAAAAAUUGAAGGAUGUAUAUAUAUUAAAAAUUGAUCAUUUGUAUUUAUAUUUAGGGUAAUUUGUGGCAUAAAUACUUAAAUUUAAUUCCUAGUUGUAAAUGAAUACUUAAGUUUAAUUUUUUGCAGUAAUAAUACUUAAGAUAUAUUUUUAGAGCUCUGUAAGUAUCUAACCGUUAAACAUUCUCAUUAGUAUAUUUAAAUUAUUUUUUUUUUUUGAAAAAUAAAAUUUUAAUGACUUGGACCAAUUAGGAAUUGACACGUAGCAAUUUAUUUAACACUUAACUGUUAGGUACUUACACAAGUUAUGUAUUAAUAAUUUAGGUAUUUAUUUAUAACUAGUAGUUAAACUUAAGUAUUUAUGGUGUAAAUUAUUUUUAUAUUUAUAAAAUAAUACGAGAAAAUUUAAUAUAAAAAACAAAAUAAUGGUUUUUUUUUAUUAUUAUUAUUACUAUGAGGGAAAUUAAAAAUAAAAUAAUGGAUAUUUAUCACUCUCUCGGCACCAUUUUUAGACAAAUCAAAACACAAAACCACGUAAAAUUAGAACAAAUAUUUAAAAGAUUGCUACAACAAAUAAACUUAAAUAUUAAGUUUAUAAAAAAAAAAAAAAAACUUAAUGAUAAGUAUGUAUAUAAUAUAAUUAGAACAAAUAUUUUCGUAGAGUGUAAUUUCUCAUUCAAUUUCUUUUUCUAGCGCAACAUAACACAUAACCACUGGCUAUUAUAGUUUUGGUAGGGGCAUAGGAAUUCUGCAGGUUAGGUAUUCGUUAUAUAUGCAGAUACAGUGCAUAAGAAGCACCCUACAAAUUUUUUAUAUAUUUAUAAUAUCUAAAUGCUAUUUACACCUCAAUAUUAUAACACAUGCGCAAAAGUAUUUUGAAUUUAAUAGCAUGCCAAAAGUAAUGAGCAUAUCCUUUUUUUUUUUCAGUAAGUAGAUUUAUUGCUUUUUAAAUUUAUUUGUCGCAUAAAUAUUUUUCGUAAGAGCAUUGCUAUUAGGCACCAGUGGUGCUUAGCACCUUCUCGACAUGUCACGUUGCGAUUGGCUAGCGAUACUCCCUAAAAGUUAUUAUAUUAAAUUAUAUGGGACCCGAUACUUAGAUGGACCAAUAGCGAUAUCGACACAUAGGAGGGUACUAGGCACUAAUAGUGUCCUUUAGCAUUUCUCUUUUCGUGAAAUGACACAAGUAACCUUUUUUUAAAAAAUAAAAUAAAAUAGUGUAUUCUUUAUUUUAUUAUAAAGUGAAUCGACAAAACGUGUCACAUUUUUUUUUUGUUGGUAAUUGUGUGUGUUUUAAUUUAGGGCUUGGGAAGAAAGGUAGAAUCCUAACUAUGAAAGUUAAGACAGUCCUUCGAGAUUUGAAUAGUAAAAUACAAGAUAAAAAUUUAAUUAAAAUUUUGAACUCUAAAAAAAUUAGAGACUCCAUAAACUUUUGGCUAAAAAAAUCAGGUUUCUAAUAUUUUUAACAAACGAAAAUUGAAGAUCAUGCUAUAUGAAUGUUCUGUGUUCUUCACAAGUUGUUGCUGGAAUAGGUUAAGGUGCCUAAAUAUAACAAAAUUCUGUAACUAAAAUAUUUUUGAAGGGGUGUAUAAUUUUUUUAUCAAUUUUUUUUAAAUAAAAAUAAAGGGUUUGGAAUGUAGUGAAAAUAGACCUAAUUUAAUUAUAAUAAUGUUAUGAUAUUGAAAUUGCUUGAGUAGAUCCAGCAUUUAUCUUAGUGGAAAACUUAGUUAUCAUGAUUCAUCAAUAAUGAUUUCCUAAUUACUGCUGUGCAUUUUUUUUUCUUCCUAACAUUUACUUGAAGCUCAGCUUUACUGGGUCUCUCUGCAAGAUAUUGACGGUGAAUUUCGGCUGGGAAUCUCUUUCGCCUGGGAGCUGUUUUUCUUUUAUCAAUUGUUGUAAACGUUUUUUGAUUCCUGAAUGUAUUUAAUUCAAAAAAAAAAAGUUCAUUAAAAUGUUAUUCUGGAUUGUCUGAA